GGAGUGUUCAUCUAAAGGCAUGAUUUUCCUUGCAAUUUUUAAAAUAUCCAAAUUAUUAACGGGAUUAAUGUGUAGUGAAAGACAAAUAUAAACUUAAAUGGCACAAAUAAUUACAGCAUUUUUGGGGUGAAUACAUAACUUGACAACCUGAAGAAGAAGAAAAAAAAAACCCAUUCCUGCAGAUGUAGAAAAACAGUUGCUGAAACUGAAAAUCAACCACAUCAAUUCUAGGAGGGACUGCAAAUCGUGGACAUUGCCUCUCCUUCUCUAACUUAUAAAACACAUAUAUACAAAGUACUUAAAUAAGUUAGUCAAAAUUGGUGACAAUGUUCUUGACAUUAAGAAUAAUGAAAAUGAGAGACAAGAAAAUCAAGGAGAAAAAUAGCAUUAGAAAGUGAUUUACUUUAUCGUCAAGUUUCUUGGCUUUAAAACUCAACUGAACCAAUUCUGUUUUCUCUGAGACUUCUUCAGCAGACACCUGAAAUUAUUUUCAGAAAGAUAGAAAUUUUAGUAGAUUGUUAUGAUAUACAUGCAAGUGUUAUUAAAUCUAAAGGUAAGAAUUUUACGUAGAUGGAGAAAAACCAAAAAAAACUUGUAGUGUAUGAUAUAAAAUCAUACAUACAAAACAAUUAAGUUAUGUUGUGUUACUGAAGAAUGACUAUGUUUCCAUUUGUGAUGUAUUCCAAAGGAAUGGGAAGACAUUAUGUAUUGUGAAUGAGAAAUACCAGACAGAAAACAUAAAAGGAAAAGGAGUUAAGUGAAAAAGCUCAAUGGUGUUUUUGUAGCAGUUACCAAUCCCAAAAGAACUCAAGUUGAUAGCUUAUCAGUCAGACAUACUGUAAAAGUGAAUGCCACUGCCCCUUCUCCUCCAAUAAAGUAACAUCAUAAUUCAUGCCAAACUAUAAAUAAAUGGAUUCUCUGUUGGUUUCACUGAUAA